GAGGGUAUAGCUCAGUGGUAGAGUGCAUGCUUAGCAUGCAUGAGGUCCUGGGUUCAAUCCCUAGUACCUCCA
rnacentral:tRNA from 1 species